rnacentral:rRNA from 1 species
AACGAACGCUGGCGGCAUGCCUAACACAUGCCAGUCGAACGAGACCUUCGGGUCUUGUGGCGCACGGGUGCGUCACGCGUGGGAACCUUCCCUUAGGUUCGGAAUAACUCCCCGAAAGGGGUGCUAAUACCGGAUAAUGUCUUCGGCCCAAAGAUUUAUCGCCUUUGGAUGGGCCCGCGUUGGAUUAGCUAGUUGGUAGGGUAAAAGCCUACCAAGGCGACGAUCCAUAGCUGGUCUGAGAGGAUGAUCAGCCACACUGGGACUGAGACACGGCCCAGACUCCUACGGGAGGCAGCAGUGGGGAAUAGUGGACAAUGGGCGAAAGCCUGAGCCAGCAAUGCCGCGUGAGUGAUGAAGGCCUUAGGGUUGUAAAGCUCUUUUACCCGGGAUGAUAAUGACAGUACCGGGAGAAUAAGCUCCGGCUAACUCCGUG